CCUACGGGAGGCAGCAGUGGGAAUUUUCCGCAAUGGGCGAAAGCCUGACGGAGCAACGCCGCGUGAGGGAGGAAGGUCUUUGGAUUGUAACCUCUUUUCUCAAGGAAGAAGUUCUGACGGUACUUGAGGAAUCAGCCUCGGCUAACUCCGUGCCAGCAGCCGCGGUAAU
rnacentral:rRNA from 1 species